UUGCUUCUUCAAUCUUAGUGGCGAACGGGUGAGUAAUACAUAAGCAACCUGCCUCUAUGCCUGGGAUAACAGUUGGAAACGACUGCUAAUACCAGAUAAUUUCUUCUACCUCAUGGUAGUUGAAUAAAAGAUGGGAUACAUUACAUAGAGAUGGGCUUAUGGCGCAUUAGUUAGUUGGUGGGGUAAAGGCUCACCAAGACGAUGGUGCGUAGCCGACCUGAGAGGGUGACCGGCCACACUGGGACUGAGACACGGCCCAGACUCC
rnacentral:rRNA from 1 species